UGUCAGUUUACUUUUGAGAGGCUAAACAGAUAAAAAUCUGAAAAAAAAAAAACGAAAAAAAGUUGUUGAUUCGAUUUGCAAUAACGCUUUGGAUACGCUCUAUUUAUAUUUAUAUUAAUUAAAAAGUUGGAGCGUAAUCAUUUAUGAGUUCCCUUACAUUAUUGUUGCGCGGAACAAAAUGAAACAGUUGUAUGCGCGCGUUUGUUGUACAACAUUGUAGUUUGUACGUGUUUGAAAAAAAAUGGAAGAAUUACGUACCCCGCAAAGAAUAGUGGAUAUAUCAGAGCCGAUUUUGGUGGAAGACAGUACGUACUUUAAAUCGUCGUUGUCGCUAAUCGCGGUUAUAGAACAAUUGAAUAAAAACGCCACGCAUCACGACUAUUUUGUCGCGUUGUUGCUUGUUCUGUUAGCCGAGUCCGGAUUCCAAAUAUUCUCAUCCGACAAUCCGACAUGGAAACGUCGCUCAAUGUUGAUCAAGGAUAUCCGCACCAGCCAUCUCGACCAACACUUAACAAAGGGAGAGAAAUUCAAGGUUGGUGUGUAUACCAAAAAAAUAUUGGAAAUCAUCAAUAACACAUGUAUACGAGAUUCACUUAGUAAUUAACAAAUUAGCGAGCACUCAAUGUAAAUUAUUGGUAAUACCUUAUGGCGAUAAAAUGGUAAUCAGUAUGUUUUCAAUGACAAGAAAGAAUAUAAUUUAUUCUAUAGUCGAACAUUGUUUCAAAUAUUUUAAUCCACAUUCCAGUAACAAGUUAGAAUCAUAUAUGAAUCUCAAAGAGAUAUCACGAAGAUUUAAGGAUUAUGUGGCUACACCUUUGCGUACAGAUGUAUUGUUAGAUCUGGGAUUAACCAAUCCUAGUUACAUGGGACUGCCGCUAGAGCUAAAAAUGAAAAUUCAAGAUAUGACAAAAUGAUUUAAGAAACUACAUCAGGGAAACUCAUCUUUUGGUGAUAUUUGUUUUAUAUUCAGUUUUGAGUUUUCAAUAAUAUAUAUAUAUAUAUAUAUAUGACAAAUAUGCAAUAUAAUGUCUCUACCUCUGUAUUAUUUUUAAAUUUUAUUUUUUUCUGUGCUACUCUAUAAAAUAUUUAAAAAAAUUUUUUUUUAAUUCAAUCUAAUUCUAAAUUUUUUUUAUUUUCAAAGAGAAGUAGAAAGAUAGGAGUGUUGUUUUGCAUAUUUGACCCAUUUUGUUUUUUAUGAUAUUGUAAAUAGCGUAAGUAUUAAGUAUAUAAAUUUAUUUACAAACACA